AUUGAACGCUGGCGGCAUGCUUUACACAUGCAAGUCGAACGGUAACAGGCCGCAAGGUGCUGACGAGUGGCGAACGGGUGAGUAAUGCAUCGGAACGUGCCCAGUCGUGGGGGAUAACUACUCGAAAGAGUAGCUAAUACCGCAUACGAUCUAUGGAUGAAAGCGGGGGACCGUAAGGCAUCGCGCGAUUGGAGCGGCCGAUGUCAGAUUAGGUAGUUGGUGGGGUAAAGGCUCACCAAGCCAACGAUCUGUAGCUGGUCUGAGAGGACGACCAGCCACACUGGGACUGAGACACGGCCCAGACUCCUACGGGAGGCAGCAGUGGGGAAUUUUGGACAAUGGGCGCAAGCCUGGUCCAGCAAUGCCGCGUGCAGGAAGAAGGCCUUCGGGUUGUAAACUGCUUUUGUACGGAACGAAACGGCUCUGGUUAAUACCCGGGGCUAAUGACGGUACCGGAAGAAUAAGCACCGGCUAACUACGUG
rnacentral:rRNA from 1 species